CUACAUCUGGGGACAUUCAAACAAAGUGAAGAUAUUGUUUUAGUAUGUUGAUGCUGCAUUAACAAAUAUAAGUGUAUAUGAAGUGAAAACACCAAAAAUAAACAACGGUUGCGAUAGACACCUAUAAACAAAGGAUAUACUGUUAGAUGGCAUAAGGUCCAUUUUCAAAUGAUGCGGCUUAUAUCAUGUCCUGGUAUGUAAAUAUUAUAUCUUGCAAUUUUUAUAUCAUGUCUAUCAUUGAUGUGUAUAUUUGUGUUUGUUGCUUAUACAAAACUUCAUGCUUCAUGCCCCCCCCCCCCCCCAGCAUAUGACAACAUUUGUUUUAGAGAGUAGAAUAUUAUUUGUAAAACAUGGCACCUUUGUCAAAUAUUUAUAUUUCAAAGGAUCAAUUAGUUAUAUAGUGUUGGAGUUAUGCUGUAGAGAAUAAAAUAUAUGGAAAUGAAAAAGGGAGGUAAUUUAAAAAACUACAGGCGAUAGAGUUAUGGUUCUUAGUCACUGCACUUCUCCUACUUGCCAUCUGUUUAUAUUUCAAGUUUCAAGUAAAUCCUUCAGUAGAUUUAGAGUUAUGCUUCGAACAAAAAUUUACUAAGAAAUUAAUUAUAGGGAGAUAAUUAAAAAACUAAGGUAGAUAGAGUUAUGGUUCUUAGUCACUGCACUUCUCCUACUUGCCAUCUGUUUAUAUUUAAAGUUUCAAGUAAAUCCCUUCAGCAGAUUUAGAGUUAUGCUCCGGACACAAAUUAACUUUGAAAUUAAAUGAAGGGAGAUAAUUCAAAAACUAAGGUAGAUAGAGUUAUUGAUCUUUGUCACUGCACUUCCCCUACGUGCCAUUUGUUUAUAUUUAAAGUUUCAAGUAAAUCCCUUCAGUAGAUUUAGAGUUAUGCUCUGGACAAAAAUUUCCUUUUUUUGAAACAAAAAUGUGUAAAAAUCUAUAGCCCGUUCAUUAUGUGAAAAUAAACAUUUUUGUUUUAUCAAACUUGUUAAAUUUUAAUGUGAAUAAAAAGCACAAGUUGAGCAUGAACAUAGUUACAAAACUAACAAAUAUUGUUUUUAAAUGAUAUUUUACAGUCAUGUAAACACAUCCAAUUAAAUCACAAAAAGUGUGAAUUGUUUAUCCAAA